ensembl:scaRNA
UGGACAUUAGUUUUAUUUCAGUUUCUCCUUCAUGUGGAGAUUACUGAUCCCAAGUGUCCUAUAUAAAUACAGAAGCUAUCUGUUCACUCUUGGAAAGUAAACAAGAGUUGGAUCGUUCCACUUCUGACAAAU